rnacentral:rRNA from 1 species
CCGAGUUUUCACUCAUCAACCCUGUGAACAUACCUAAACGUUGCUUCGGCGGGAAUAGACGGCCCCGUGAAACGGGCCGCCCCCGCCAGAGGACCCUUAACUCUGUUUCUAUAAUGUUUCUUCUGAGUAAAACAAGCAAAUAAAUUAAAACUUUCAACAACGGAUCUCUUGGCUCUGGCAUCGAUGAAGAACGCAGCGAAAUGCGAUAAGUAAUGUGAAUUGCAGAAUUCAGUGAAUCAUCGAAUCUUUGAACGCACAUUGCGCCCGCCAGUAUUCUGGCGGGCAUGCCUGUUCGAGCGUCAUUACAACCCUCAGGCCCCCGGGCCUGGCGUUGGGGAUCGGCGGAGCCCCCCGUGGGCACACGCCGUCCCCCAAAUACAGUGGCGGUCCCGCCGCAGCUUCCAUCGCGUAGUAGCUAACACCUCGCGACUGGAGAGCGGCGCGGCCACGCCGUAAAACACCCAACUCUUCUGAAGUUGACCUCGAAUCAGGU